UCGGAAAUAGUAGUAAAAGCAAUUUAAAAAUAGGUUUAAAAAAAUAAGUUAAUUGUAAUGAACAAAAUAUUAGCACUGUUGCACAUUUGAUUGUUUGAAUGUGUUUCCGUUUCUGUGGAAUCUUGGGAGCAUUAUGACUAUGCAAGGAAGGCAAUAGUUUUAGAACUGUCCGAAUAGAGUAAUCGGAGGAACAAGUCAUAAGAGACAUCAUAUCCAAAAUUUAACAUAUUGGAAGAGAAGCACCAGGGGAUCGGAUGAUGUAGAAGGAACUGAGACCAAAUCCUUUGGCGAAAAAAAAGAUCGACAACAGCUAUGACAACCACAGAAAAUAAAAAAUGUUAGACAGAAACCAAAAUAUAUAAUAAAGAUGAUAUGAAAAACCAGAGAAACAAUUAAAUAGAAUUACAAGAAAAACAUAAAUAGAAAUAAAAAUAAAAAAAGACUAUAUGAAAAACGAAAAUCUGGAAUGUUGAAAAGGAUUAAAAAAUUAUUCAAUAACAGUUGUUAACAUCUGAUUAUUUUCAACAAAUGAUUGUAAAAAAAUUGUUAAACAAAAUAAAGAAAAAAAGAAGAUACUAUUAGGUUUCGUGGUUCUGAUUUCAUAACGAGGGAAAACUUGAUGUAAAAAAUCUGUAAAGUCCCUAAAAAAACAGCUAAUAUCACACCAUUUGAAAACACCAAAGAAUUCGGAUAUCAAUCAUUUAGAAUUAUAAAACAUCAUAUAAAGUUUCAAUAAGUAAUAAACAAACAUAACAUCUUGCGGAAUGACGAAUUAAGAUGAUAUAUUAUACCAUGACUGCGUAUUGAACUAAUUGAAGAUUGAAGACGAAUACUGAAUGAACAUAUUAGCCUAAGUCAAGACGCGGUCUGAGGAUUUAAAAAAAAAAUACUAACAGAUAAACAAUAAUUAAUCAAAGCAAAAACAAGCAAGACAAACUAAAAUACUGAGACACAAAUUUCAAUUGAAACAACUAAUUCAAAGUUUUCAGAUUAAGAGUAAAUUAAUAAUAUAUUUGAAAAAUUAGAAAAUUAAAUCUAGAAAUUCAACAAAAUCCAAGAGAAACAGGAAAAAUAAUGAUAGAAACAAUUCUAUUAUCAACGAGUAGAACAAUAACAUGAUAGAAACAGGAAAAAUACAAUGAUUAGUUAAGGUUAGUUAAGACAUAAAAACAAAUAAACGUCGACGACAACAACGGAAGAUAAAAACGGGGAAUGACGCAGACGAAAAGGAAAAACUGAAACCCAUAACAAUUACAACUUAUAGACCGGGGGAAAUUCAUCUGAUUCGAAAAAUACAUAGAGUACCAAAAACAACACCAUGAGAAGGAAGCAAAACGAAAAGCUAACAGGAGAAGGAACCGAACCAAAUAAUGAAACCGAACCUGAACCUGAACGAGAAGAAACCUGAUAGAACCGAACGAAAAGGAACCGAACCUGAUAGAAAUGGAAGAUAAAAACAAAUAAGACAAAUAAAUAAAUAAACGACAAUGUUGACAACAAUUACAACAGAAUACCAUAACGACGACGACCAAACGAAAACGAAAAACGUGAACGACACCGACGUAAACAACAUACUAAGACCUUUAAUGAUAAAAACUUACCGACCUAGCCAAUGUCGUCUGAUUCAAAAUGAACAAAACCCAAGAACACCACAUCAACUGUAGCCACGAACAGGAGAACGAACAAGAGAAAGAGCGAAACAGCCCACAGUAGAAGGAAGAUACAACCUACUGUUCAGUCGUACGAAAAAGAAACUUGAACGGAGAAAAGAACUAUAAAAUAGUUAGGGAAAUUUUUUGGAAUCUUCGAAGUAAAGCAGCGAUUGGAACAGGGAGACAAAAGAAGAUGCACGACGAGUAUCGAAGAAAGACAAUGAAAUAAUGGUCAGGAGGUUGAAGGGGGAAGACGAUCGAGGGUCAAGAAGGAUGGAAGGGUUGUGAUAGUAGAAGGGUUUGGAAGAAGAAAGGUGACGACGGCAGAAGUGUGAAGCCGGUAG
rnacentral:lncRNA from 1 species